rnacentral:lncRNA from 1 species
GAGGUCACCUGCCCUGCCCAGCAGCCGCAUGGAGAUCACCCAGUAGCCCUCAGGAGUCGGGGCUCCCACUUGUGAACCGGGAGCUCAGCUGAGACUCUCUGCGUGGCCAACCCUCUCCAGAGACCGGCUCCACCGCCAGCCAGAUUGGAUGCUGAGCGUGUCCACACAGCACGCACUCACUGGGACUCAGCGUGCUGGGACUCAGCUCCCCGCCGCCCAGUCCCUCGGGCCUAGGGUGCAGAGUGGACACUCCCAGGUGUCCAAGCCGGCGAGCUCGGGUCCCGCAGAACCGGCGGCCCUGGAGACGCCCCGAGGGCAGCCCCGCUGCAGCCUUGCUCGGGUCCCCUAGCCCGGCGCCUCCGCAAACCAACCCACCGCGGGCCGCCGAGCCCCGCUCCGGGAUCCGCCGGCUGCCUCCAUCCCAGAAGAGUGCGCAGAGAAUUAAAUCUAGAUAUUUACAUGUUUAAUGGCUAAAGGAGCCUGUCUUCUGGCAGGGCAGGGAGGGCGCUCAGGUGGUUUAACUCAGCGCCGGGAUCCCGCUCAGCUGCGGGGGCCGCGAACCCCGCCGCUGGGCCGACGAUUGGGCCCCUCCGGAGCGCGGCGCCCAACGCGGGUUUCGUUGCGUCGGGGAAGUCCGUGGCCUGCAGCGUCCAGUCCCCAGGCUGUCAGCCGAGCCCUGGAGUGGGGCGUUCUCCAGGCCCCCAACCCCUGAUCCAGGCCGUUCCCCUCCCGCGCACCCUCCGGCGGGGGCUGCAGCCCGCGCCCCUCGCCGCCAAGCCCCAUUUUCCCACAGUGCAAACUGCAGCAAACGAACUGGUUUUCUCCUGAGCGCACGCUGCGGGGAGACGAUUCCAACGGCGUCCAGUGAGGAGGGGCCCAGGCCUGCGAGACGGGGCGCGUUCCUGUCCCCAGACCCCUCCGGCUGCGCCUCAACCCCCAGCCCGGCUCUCUGACCUGCAUCGGUCGGGCCGGGCACAGAGGAGGCAAAGCAGGCGGAGGCCGCGAGAGGAGAGCAGCCUGACCUCCCGCCUGAGCCCGGACCCUUCCCCUCGGGCACCCUCGGACGCCCCCGCCCCAGCGUGUUACUUUCUAGAUGGGGAAACUGAGGCGCGGCCAGGGCGAUGCGGCGGAAGUCCCGCGCCCGGCCGUCUCCCGCGCCUGCCAGA